rnacentral:rRNA from 1 species
UGUAGUCAUAUUCUAGUCUCAAAGAUUAAGCCAUGCAUGUGUAAGUAUAAAUAGUUAACUUUGAAACUGCGAAUGGCUCAUUAUAUCAGUUAUAGUUUAUUUGAUGAAGAAUACUAAUUGGAUAACCGUAGUAAUUCUAGAGCUAAUACAUGUAUAAAGUCUUGUAGACUGCAUUUAUUAGAAUGAAAACCAUAGGUUUCGGCCUAUUCGUGAGUAAUAAUAACUAAUCAUAUCGUAUGCUUAUGUAACGAUGUGUCUUUCAAGUUUCUGCCCUAUCAGCUUUCGAUGGUAGUGUAUUGGACUACCAUGGCAGUAACGGGUAACGAAGAA